UACGUAGGGUGCGAGCGUUAAUCGGAAUUACUGGGCGUAAAGUGUGCGCAGGCGGCCGAGCAAGUCGAGUGUGAAAGCCCCGGGCUUAACUUGGGAAUUGCGCUCGAAACUACUUGGCUGGAGUGUGACAGAGGAAGGUGGAAUUCCAGGUGUAGCGGUGAAAUGCGUAGAGAUCUGGAGGAACACCGAUGGCGAAGGCAGCCUUCUGGGCCAACACUGACGCUCAUGCACGAAAGCGUGGGGAGCAAACAGG
rnacentral:rRNA from 1 species